rnacentral:rRNA from 1 species
AUUGAACGCUGGCGGCAGGCUUAACACAUGCAAGUCGAACGAGUGGCGGACGGGUGAGUACUGCUUGGGAAUCUAGCUUAUGGAGGGGGAUAACUACGGGAAACUGUAGCUAAUACCGCGUACCAUAGGAUGAGCCCAAGUGGGAGUAGGUAGUUGGUGAGGUAAAGGGUCACCCAGCCGACGAUCUCUAGCUGGUCUGAGAGGAUGAAGGGCCACCUUGGGACUGAGACACGGCCCAGACUCCUACGGUAGGCAGCAGUUGGGAAGCGUCCGCAAUGGACGAAAGGUGACGGAGCAACGCCGCGUGAGUGAUGACGGCCUUCGGGUUGUAAAGCUCUGUUAAUCGGGAGACGGUACCGGAAUAGAAAGCCACGGCUAACUACGUGCCAGCAGCCGCGGUAAUAC